GCUUGUCUGCAGAGUCAUGACCUGUAAGUGGCGCGGCCGCGCGCUGCAGCUCGAGUUCGGGCCGCGGGGGAGGCUUUGGAGCGGCGCCGGCGGUGGCUCGGCCGGCUCAGCCCCUCCGCCCCGCGUCCCCGCCGUGCGCGGCCUUCCCUGAGGCGGGCGUCCGCGUGGGUCCGGGAUCGCGUGGCCGGGCGGCCGGGCGCACUCCCGGGAUUCCAGGCUUCCGGGGUGGCGGGCGAGGCCCAGAAAGCACCAGGCCACCCGGCCGCGCCGGCACCCGCCGCGUCCUGCUUGACAGAGGCUGAUGGACGUGUAUUUCUCCACGGUGUGGGCCGCGGUGCUUUCCGCUUGGCCCUCAUCCAGCUUCAGAUUUCUUCCAUCAAAUCAGAUAACGUCACUCGCGCUUGUAGCUUCAUCCGGGAGGCAGCAACGCAAGGAGCCAAAAUAGUUUCUUUGCCGGAAUGCUUUAAUUCUCCAUAUGGAGCGAAAUAUUUUCCUGAAUAUGCAGAGAAAAUUCCUGGUGAAUCCACACAGAAGCUUUCUGAAGUAGCAAAGGAAUGCAGCAUAUAUCUCAUUGGAGGCUCUAUCCCUGAAGAGGAUGCUGGGAAAUUAUAUAACACCUGUGCUGUGUUUGGGCCUGAUGGAACUUUA
rnacentral:lncRNA from 1 species